rnacentral:misc_RNA from 1 species
AACGCACCUUGCGCCCUUUGGUAUUCCGAAGGGCAUGCCUGUUUGAGUGUCAUUAUAUUCUCAACCUUGCAAAGCUUGCUUUGUUAGGCUUGGAUGUGAGGGCUUUGCUGGCUUCCAUUGAGUUGGAUGGUCUGCUCCCUUCAAAUUUAUUAGUGGGAUCCUUUGUGGAUGGUCACUUGGUGUGAUAAUUAUCUACGCCGCCUGACUGUGAAGCAAAACUUGUGGGGACCUGCUUAUAACUGUCUCUUUGGGGACUAUCUUUGACUAUUUGACCUCAAAUCAGGUAGGACUACCCGCUGAACUUAA